GACGAACGCUGGCGGCGCGCCUAACACAUGCAAGUCGAACGAGCGAGAGAGAGCUUGCUUUCUCGAGCGAGUGGCGAACGGGUGAGUAACGCGUGAGGAACCUGCCUCAAAGAGGGGGACAACAGUUGGAAACGACUGCUAAUACCGCAUAAGCCCACGACCCGGCAUCGGGUAGAGGGAAAAGGAGCAAUCCGCUUUGAGAUGGCCUCGCGUCCGAUUAGCUAGUUGGUGAGGUAACGGCCCACCAAGGCGACGAUCGGUAGCCGGACUGAGAGAUUGAGCGGCCACAUUGGGACUGGGACACGGCCCAGACUCCUACGGGAGGCAGCAGUGGGGAAUAUUGCACAAUGGGGGAAAUCCUGAUGCAGCGACGCCGCGUGGAGGAAGAAGGUCUUCGGAUUGUAAACUCCUGUUGUUGGGGAAGAUAAUGACGGUACUCAACAAGGAAGUGACGGCUAACUACGUG
rnacentral:rRNA from 1 species